AACACUGUUAACCUGCGGUACCUGCGGAAGGAUCAUUACAAGUGACCCCGGUCUAACCACCGGGAUGUUCAUAACCCUUUGUUGUCCGACUCUGUUGCCUCCGGGGCGACCCUGCCUUCGGGCGGGGGCUCCGGGUGGACACUUCAAACUCUUGCGUAACUUUGCAGUCUGAGUAAACUUAAUUAAUAAAUUAAAACUUUUAACAACGGAUCU
rnacentral:misc_RNA from 1 species